rnacentral:rRNA from 1 species
UACGGAGGGUGCAAGCGUUAAUCGGAAUUACUGGGCGUAAAGCGUGCGCAGGCGGUUUGUUAAGUCCGCUGUGAAAUCCCCGAGCUCAACUUGGGAAUUGCAGUGGAUACUGGCAGGCUGGAGUACGGUAGAGGAAGGUGGAAUUCCCGGUGUAGCAGUGAAGUGCGUAGAGAUCGGGAGGAACACCAGUGGCGAAGGCGGCCUUCUGGACCAGUACUGACGCUCAUGCACGAAAGCGUGGGGAGCAAACAGG